AAGCUACUCCCUCCGUUCGAAAUUACUUGUCACAAAAAUGGAUGUAUCUACAACUAAAAUACAUCUAGAUACAUUCAUUUUUUGGACGAGUAAUUCCGAACGGAGGGAGUACUUC
rnacentral:pre_miRNA from 1 species